AAUACCUCAAUAGAGUUUACAGAAGAAAAUGGAUAGUACAAAAAUUUUGGUGACUUGUUUCCUUGUAAUAAUACUUGAAGUUUCGUUGUCUAGCCACAAUGUUUUAGCUUCAGGAUAUGUUGAAUGUAAGGACUAUUGUAUUAAAGCUGGAUUUAAAACUGGAAAGUGUGGUUCUAGUAAUAAAACUGGAUGUAAGACCUAUUGUAUUAAAGCUGGAUUUAAAAUUUUUGCAUGUCCUGGGAAAUGUUGUUGCCAAAAGUGUUAGAAACUUAUAUAUCCCUUCUUUCUCAAAAUUGACAUCCUAGCGUUGCAUUUAUUUUCUCUAAGUUAUUGGACUUGUAUCUUAUUUUCAAAAAUAAAUGCAAUGAAAUAAGAAAACAAUUUAUUAUAAUA